UACGAUGCCAGCAUACAAAUCUGUUCCAU
rnacentral:piRNA from 1 species